rnacentral:rRNA from 1 species
ACAACUUUUAGCAACGGAUCUCUUGGCUCUCGCAUCGAUGAAGAACGCAGCGAAAUGCGAUAAGUAAUGUGAAUUGCAGAAUUCAGUGAAUCAUCGAAUCUUUGAACGCACCUUGCGCUCCUUGGUAUUCCGAGGAGCAUGCCUGUUUGAGUGUCAU